rnacentral:rRNA from 1 species
AUUGAACGCUGGCGGCAUGCCUUACACAUGCAAGUCGAACGGCAGCACGGGGGCAACCCUGGUGGCGAGUGGCGGACGGGUGAGUAAAGCAUCGGAACGUAUCCUGGAGUGGGGGGAUAACGUAGCGAAAGUUACGCUAAUACCGCAUAUUCUGUGAGCAGGAAAGCAGGGGAUCGCAAGACCUUGCGCUCUGGGAGCGGCCGAUGUCGGAUUAGCUAGUUGGUGGGGUAAAGGCCUACCAAGGCGACGAUCCGUAGCGGGUCUGAGAGGAUGAUCCGCCACACUGGGACUGAGACACGGCCCAGACUCCUACGGGAGGCAGCAGUGGGGAAUUUUGGACAAUGGGCGGAAGCCUGAUCCAGCCAUGCCGCGUGAGUGAAGAAGGCCUCGG